CAAAAUAAAGCUUUAAGGAAGCAUUUCAUUUACAUUGAAAGUAGUGUCUGUGCAAUUCAGAUUAUUUUGA
rnacentral:tRNA from 1 species